rnacentral:piRNA from 1 species
UUGAUUCCAAAAUGAUGGGGACCUUUCAGU